rnacentral:rRNA from 1 species
AGAGUUUGAUCCUGGCUCAGAUUGAACGCUGGCGGCAUGCUUUACACAUGCAAGUCGAACGGCAGCGGGGGCUUCGGCCUGCCGGCGAGUGGCGAACGGGUGAGUAAUGCAUCGGAACGUGCCCAUGUCGUGGGGGAUAACGUAUCGAAAGGUACGCUAAUACCGCAUACGUCCUGAGGGAGAAAGCGGGGGAUCUUCGGACCUCGCGCGAUUGGAGCGGCCGAUGUCGGAUUAGCUAGUAGGUGAGGUAAAGGCUCACCUAGGCGACGAUCCGUAGCGGGUCUGAGAGGAUGAUCCGCCACACUGGGACUGAGACACGGCCCAGACUCCUACGGGAGGCAGCAGUGGGGAAA